rnacentral:misc_RNA from 1 species
UUUCCGUAGGCGAACCUGCGGAAGGAUCAUUAUUGGGUUUUGAAACUUCAGGCUGCUGCUGGCUCUCCUCGGAGGGCAUGUGCACGCUUGUUGUCCAUUAUUUCUCCCACUGUGCACAAAUUGUAGACCUUUCAGUAGGCCUAUGUUGUUUUUCACAAUCUCUGAAUGUAAUAGAAUGGUUUUGAAUCUUGGGAAAUACAAUACAACUUUCAGCAACGGAUCUCUUGGCUCUC